AGUUAACAUGCUCACUAGCUUACAGCUGGUUUUGAAAUGUGUCUUUAUUGUUAAAUUAGCCACAUGUCAUCAAAACAAACCCGCUAAAAUGACUGCUAACGAUGUUAACAUGUAGCAUUCCCUUCCAGUGUCUGUGAUAUAACUGUCGGUGUUGGAUAUUUAAAAACAUGAAGUUGGUAACGUGUGAGAUUGCAUGGCACAACAAGGAGCCAGUCUACAGUCUGGACUUCCAGCACAGCUCAGAUGGACGCCUUCAUCGGCUGGCCACAGCUGGAGUGGACACCACAGUCAGACUGUGGCGGGUAGACACGGGCCCAGACGGGAAGGCAGUGGUGGAGUUUCUGUCUAAUCUGGUGAGACAUACCAAGGCUGUCAACGUAGUGCGUUUUAGCCCCAGUGGAGAGCUCCUUGCCUCAGGAGGAGACGGU